AAGCCAACGCCCAGCCACGGGGGACGACUGUUCCUGGGACUGGAAGGUACAUAUACUACCAAGGCCAUCAGAACCAACACUGGGACCAGAGACCACUGGUGAGUCAUGUCUGUGCAUGGAGAUGAUGGCAGGCCAGGCUGGAUAGCAGAAGGCAUGGAUGGGUCAACAGACAAAGCAGGACCCUGGAGCCAAGAGAACACUGAGAACACCUGCUCAGAUCUAUGUCACAUCUAGCUCAGUAUGUAUAUGCUUUGUCCCCUCAAAGGUCAGAAGAGGAUAUUAGAUCCCUUGAUUGUGAAGUUACAGGUGGGAUGGUUGUGACCCACCAUUCGGUGUAGGAAUCCAAUCUGUGUUCUCUGCAAGAGCAACGAGUGCUCUUAAC